rnacentral:tRNA from 1 species
GUAGCAUAGUGGUUAAGCAUUUGGCUGCUAACCAAAAGGUCGGCAGUUCGAAUGCACCAGCUGCUC